rnacentral:rRNA from 1 species
AUUGAACGCUGGCGGCAGGCCUAACACAUGCAAGUCGAGCGAGCGGCGGACGGGUGAGUAAUGUAUGGGGACUGCCCGAUAGAGGGGGAUAAAUACUGGAAACGGUAGCUAAUACCGCAUACUAUCGGAUAACCGAUAUGGGAUUAGCUAGUAGGUGAGGUAAUGGCUCACCAAGGCGACGAUCCCUAGCUGGUCUGAUAGGAUGAUCAGCCACACUGGGACUGAGAAACGGCCCAGACCCCUACGGAGGCAGCAGUGGGGAAUAUUGCACAAUGGGCGCAAGCCUGAUGCAGCCAUGCCGCGUGUAUGAAGAAGGCCCUAGGGUUGUAAAGUACUUUCAGUCGGGAGGCGUUGCCGACAGAAGAAGCACCGGCUAACUCCGUGCCAGCAGCCGCGGUAAUUC